UACAGAGGUCUCGAGCGUUAGGCGGAAUCACUGGGCUUAAAGCGUGUGUAGGUGGAUGCCUAAGUACCUUGUGAAAUCCCACAGCUUAACUGUGGAACUGCUUGGUAUACUGGGUGUCUUGAGUCACUCAGGGGCGAGCGGAACAAAUGGUGGAGCGGUGAAAUGCGUAGAUAUCAUUUGGAACGCCAAUGGUGAAAACAGGUCGCUGGGGCUGUGCUGACGCUGAGACACGAAAGCCAGGGGAGCGAACGGG
rnacentral:rRNA from 1 species